AGUUGGGUCCUGCGCAACGCUUGCUCUCGAACUGUGUCAGGUCCUGACGGAAGCAGCACUAAGAGAUGUCAGACGGGUGCCGCAGUCCCGCCUGGCUAGG
rnacentral:SRP_RNA from 1 species